UGAGUAACCUGUCCUCGGCACCGGGAUAGCCCGGGGAAACCCGGAUUAAUACCGGAUGGCCUUUCGAGUCUUCGGGCUCGUCAGAAAAGGUAGCUUCGGCCUCCGGCCGAGGAGGGACUCGCGGCGGAUUAGCUUGUUGGUGGGGUAACGGCUCACCAAGGCGACGAUCCGUAGCUGGUCUGAGAGGACGAUCAGCCACACUGGGACUGAGACACGGCCCAGACUCCUACGGGAGGCAG
rnacentral:rRNA from 1 species